CCAUUCAAUUGCUUCACUUGAACAACACUAACAUUUUGUAUUUGUUCCGCACUUUCAAGCAUACUAUUACAAGCUGAAAAAUCAUGUAACUAGGCAUUAGCAACUAGACUCUCUUUUUAAUUUACAUGUAUGUUGCUUCUCAUCUUAGUUUGCUGCAUCUAUCUAUUUAUAUAAAUUAUGUUCUUAAAUUUUACUCCUCGAUCUGUUGCGUUUGUUCCGUGCCAUGAGUAGAUCUGGUGGUUCACAUGGGUUUGUGGUGGGUUUAGCAUGGAUCCUUAAAUCGGCGUGCUCAACUUGGUAAAUCGCCGUGUUCAGUGUUGUUUUGGCUUCAAUUUUUGCUGGGUCUCUCCGUAGAUCUGGGGAUUCUGUUGGUUCUAUUGCUCUAUUACAAUAUUUUAUCUCUACCAUAUGUAUCAGAUGGUUUGUGCUGCUUGAGGUGUCGUCGAUCUAGCACUUCUUUUAAUUUAGAACGAAUUUUGAAAUAUGUGUGUUGUGCUCAUCGUGGUUUUAUGUGCUCCCCUGUCUUCCGUAGACCUACAUGUUCAAGUACGACACCGUGCACAGCCACUAGAAGAACAGUGACAUCACACUCAAGGACUCCAAGACCCUUCUCUUUGGUGACAAGCCGGUCACCGUCUUUGGCAUCAGGUGCUUGCCUUUCUUGCCUCUUCUAGACAUGGAUUGAGCUUUUGUGUUCAAGCUGUGAGCUAAUGUAUUAACUAUUGUGACCCUCAAGAACCCUGAGGAAAUCCUGUGGGAUGAGGCUGGUGCUGAGUAUGUCGUGGAGUCCACCGGUGUAUUCACUGACAAGGAUAAGACUGUUGCACAUCUGAAGGUACAAUUUCUACUUUGUGGCCCUUUGUUUGUUUCAGAAUGUACAUGUUGUUUUUACUUGUUUGGGUACCAUAUCUUACAGAACCCAAAUAUAUCCAUUUUGAGGGAUGUGCAUAUGAAGUGCAUAAAUUUAGUGAUGUUGUCAAGUAGUUUUCCAUAAUGUGUCCAAGUUUGCACCAGUAAAUUCUAAAGCUUUGAUGUAAGGUAGAAUGAAGUUUAAAACUAACAUUACAAUGUUUGUUUAAAAUUUAGAGCUCUAAAGUUUAGAGAAAUAAAUUUAAGCAUGCCCUGAGGCCUGUGCAAUGGAAACUUGGACACUCGCCUCAUGGAGAGGAGUCAAAUUACAUUCAGACCCAGGAUGCUAAUUAGCUCACUUUUGAGUCGAAUGUUGCAUGAGCCAUUGUCAUUGCCAGCAGGGUAUGGUACUGUGCUGCUCAAAUGUUUUUCUAUGAGCUCAAAAAACAUGCCACUGCCAUUGCUCUGAAUAAUGUUACCAUGGAACUGAAUCUGCUAACAGUAAUAUUGAUUAUCACCAUCUGAACUGAUCUUGUAUAAUUUGCAUACUAGAAGUACUCGAGCCUUUCCAAAACUUGCGUCGUUUUAGUUUUGUCUGAAGUCAAACUUUCUUAACUUUGGUUGCUGGUUAGCAGAGAGGAUGUAACCUUUUGUAAAUCUUUUAUACUACUAGGGGAGAAAAUUAGCUUAGUUCAAUCGCAUCUCAUAUGUCUAAUUACUAGGGGAGAAAAUUAGCUUAGUUCUUUUGUUGCUGCCAUAGUUGUGAAAAAAUAACGAGACAUCUAAAUCAGUAAAUUGGAAAUACAGCAUCUUAAACCUGCAGGUAGUUUCUUAAACCUGAUUCUAGCUACAACUUAGUACAACUACUGGUAGUUUCUUAAACCUGAUUCUGGCUACAGGUUUCAUAUUGUGGCACAGGAACUUUUAAGAACAUGUGUUGAUGCCCACCGUAUUUAGUUACUACUUCAAGACCAACUGUAUUUUAGUUAUAAUUGUGUUUUCAAGAUUAUAGAAAUUAGUAGCUGAAAUUAUCCACACCAUAUUUGUGAACUGGCAUCAUUUCUAAGAAUAUUACUGAUUAGAAUCUUUCACUUCUAUAAUGCUUUGCAGGAGUGGCCACUCUGGAGUUGUCUAUGCAGUUAUAACCAAUUUUUACCCCUUUUAUCCUAGAAGAGUUGCCAAGACACGGUAUAAGACCAUGAUCAUAGACUAAGAGAGGAUUUGACUCUAAUUAGUAUCUGUUUUAUUUAUGCAGACCCAUGAGAGCUUUGAGUAUUUGCACAUUGCUUUAUUACUUUAUUAAAGUUAAAGAUUGUAUGUGCUGAGUAUGUAUCCACUCUUGUUGGAAGUGUCUUGAAAUUUCCAAUCCAAGGAUGUAUAAAAGACUGCAUGGGCUCAGUAUGUGUUUUUUCAUGUAUUUGGAGUAUAUAUACUUUUUAUUGCUUGAGGACAUGUAUGUACAUUGGAAGCUUGCCAAUUGUGUGAACUUGAGUUGAUCCCUGCCUAACCUGAGUAUAUAUAUUUUUUGUUGCUUGAGAACAAGUAUGUACAAUAGAGGCUUGACAAUUGUGUGAACUUGAGUUGAACAUGAAUUUUGAUAAUUAAAUGUAUAUUGUUGACAAUUCUGAAUUUUGACAAGUAUGUACAAUACAUGCCUAACCUGAAUUUUGACAAUUCUGUGAUUUGUGGUGCUUAAUUAAAUGUAUAUUUUUAUUAAUAACAACUGUAAAAAGGGUGACUUUCUGUUGGUUGCUAAAUGUAUAGUAUGACGACUUACGGUUGGUUGCUAAAUCUAUAGUACAGCAACUCACGGUUGGUCGCUAAAUAUACAAUAUUAGCAACGGACGGUCGGUCGCUAAAAAGAUGUCGGUCGCUAAAGCCUUUAGCGACGGCACUUACAGCGACCAUCCUUAUGGGUCGCUAAAAGUUUUUAGCGACCAACCGUAGGUCGCUGAAGGCUGUUUUAGCAACCAACCGUAGGUCGCUGGAAGUGAACCGUCGUGUAGUGUGCUGAGACAACGUGUCGAGGAUUAUGAUGCGGAUGCGGGGGUAGCGGAUAUGUUGAACGACUAUCAGGAGGCACAGUACACGGAAGGAUGUAUGGAUGACGAGCCAGAGCCGACUGCAAAGGCGUUCUACAACAUGUUUGACGCGGCACAGAAGCCCCUUCACGACCAGAAAAAGGUUUCUCAACUGGAUGCCAUUGGGCGUGUAAUGGCGUUCAAGUCGCAGUACCGCAUGAGUAGAGACGCAUUCGAUGGCUUGUUGACGGUUAUUGGGAGCCUACUUCCGGAUGAUCACGUUCUUCCAAAGAGCAUGUACGAGGCACAAAAACUCCUUCGUGCACUCAAGAUGACGUAUGAGCAUAUUCAUGCUUGUCCGAAGGGCUGCGUGCUAUUUAGGAAAGAAUACGCGGAGGCAAAGUACUGUCCCAAGUGUAAAUCGUCUAGGUUCAUGGAGGUAGACUCUGGUGAUGGACAGAAGAGGCAGCUCGACAUCACCUUGACAAUCCUACAGCACCUUCCGUUCAUACCGAGGAUCCAGCGUCUGUACAUGACAGAGGAAUCCGCGAAAUAGAUGACAUGGCACAAAAAUGGAAAACGAUACAAUCCUGACAAGAUGGUGCACGCAUCCGAUGGUGAAGCAUGGAAACACUUUGAUGCCAUUCACCGUGAGAAAGCCGAAGAGGCUCGUAAUGUACGUGUUGCGUUGGCCACAGAUGGGUUCAAUCCCUAUGGAAUGAGCGCUGCCUCGUACACAUGUUGGCCCGUGUUUGUUAUCCCAAUCAAUCUCCCCCCUGGUGUGUGCUUUCAAAGGCAGCUUAUAUUUGUGUCGUUGAUAAUUCCCGGACACCCGGGGAAUAAAAUGGGCGUGUGCAUGGAGCCUUUGAUCGAUGAAUUGGUACGUGCCUGGGAGGAAGGGGUAUGGACGUAUGACCGAGCUACGAAGACAAACUUCAGAAUGCAUGUUUGGUACUAGUACUCCAUGCAUGACUUACUGGAGUAUGGGCUAUUUUGCGCCUGGUGUGUUCACGGUAAGUUCCCAUGCCCAGUUUGCAAGGAAGCUCUCAGGUUCAUUUGGUUGAAAAAGGGUGGCAAAUAUUCGUCCUUUGAUAAACAUCAACAAUUUCUCACUCUUGACCAUCCAUUCCGCCUAGACAUCAAGAACUUUACAAAAGGUGUCGUAGUGACAGACCGCCCACCUGCAACAAUGACUGGUGCCGAAAUUCGUCAACAAAUAGAUGGGCUCGUGGCCAAUACAGAAGGUGGUUUUGUGGGAUAUGGUGAGCAGCAUAUGUGGACACAUAAGUCUGGCUUGACUCGGCUCCCCUAUUAUGACAACCUGCUCCUUCCACACAACAUUGACGUGAUGCACACUGAAAAGAAUGUUGCCGAGGCACUGUGGGCAAGAAUUAUGGACAUUCCUGAUAAGUCAAAGGAUAACGUAAAGGCAAGAGUGGAUCUGGCAAUGUUAUGUGAUAGACCAAACCUAGAGAUGAAGCCGCCAAGUGGCGGAAAGACAUGGAGAAGGCCUAAGGCCGAUUUCGUCCUAAGCAGGGCCCAGAGGAAGGAAGUACUUCAGUGGAUCAAGAUGUAGAUGUUCCCUGAUGGGUAUGCAGCUAACCUGAGUAGGGGGUGAACUUAUCUAUUAUGCGAGUCUUAGGGAUGAAGAGUCAUGACUUCCACAUAUGGAUUGAACGGAUUCUUCCUGCGAUGGUUCGAGGCUAUGUCCCUGAGCAUGUCUGGCUAGCGCUUUCAGAGUUGAGCUAUUUCUUUCGUCAGCUUUAUGCAAAAGAGUUAUCUCGAACCGUGGUUGCAGACUUGGAAAGAUUGGCACCCGUGUUACUAUGUAAUCUUGAGAAGAUAUUUCCACCCGACUUCUUGAAUCCAAUGCAGCAUUUGAUUCUUCAUCUCCCCUAUGAGGCAUGAAUGGGGGGGCCGUGCAGGGAUGUUGGUGCUAUCCAAUCGAGAGAUGUCUAAAGACUAUUCGAAAGAAAUGUAGAAAUAAAUGCAAAAUUGAGGCUUCCAUUGGAGAGGCAUACAUUCUAGAGGAGGUGUCAAACUUCACAACAACUUAUUAUGGUGACGAACUGCAGAGCGUGCAUAAUCCACCCCCUUGUUACAAUGAUGGCGACAAUAAAUCGAACCUUAGCAUAUUUCGAGGCCAACUCGGAAGCGCAAGUGGCUCGACCACCAAGACCCUAACACAUGAAGAGUGGCGGCAUAUCAUGCUAUAUGUAUUGACCAACCUUGAAGAGGUGACACCAUACAUGGAACAAUUUCUUCAUGAAUUCUAGCGUCGAUCAAGGGACCCCACUCCACAGGAAUGUGACACUAUUCUUAGAAAGGUGCGAGAAAUGGGUUGCCCGAUUUCAUUUCCUAGUUCAAAUGUAAGGCACGUGCUUAGUUUGUAAAAGAGAUACGUCUUUGAACUCAAUUUAGUGUCUUUUAACUUGCGAAUACUUGCAGGGUCAAAGAGAUCCGUCUAUGAGUGUCGAGUUGAGACAAAUAGCCAACGACUUUGCUUAUAGGGUCAAGAAAUAUUCUGGGUAUGACGUUAAUAGAUACCGUUUUCGCACAACAAACUACGACAAAAGUCGGCCCAAUCGGAAAACAACGUGUUCUAGAGUCUUUACGCCCGGCCUUGACGAUGUCGAUUAUUUUGGACGAAUUGAAGAAAUAUAUGAGCUCAAUUUUUAUGGUUCCAAACCUCUUACUCCAGUGAUAUUCAAAUGUCAUUGGUUUGACCCUCAAGUGACGAGACGGACACAUUCUAAUCUUGGGAUAGUCGAAAUUCGACAAGAUUCCACCUUACCAGGAGACGAUGUCUAUAUCGUGGCCAAACAGGCCACACAAGUGUAUUAUCUCCCAUAAGCGUGCCAAACGAAAGAACAUCUUAAGGGUUCGGAUGUUGUGUAUAAGGUAUCGCCGCAUGGGAGGUUACCUGUUCCUAACGAUGAAGAUUACACCUGUCGGCGUCUCGAGACCGGGGGGUCCCUAAGCCGACGAGUGAGUGUGCCGCGUGCCCCAGCCCAGAUGGGUCGAGCGCGUGGGCGAGCGCGAAGGGGGGAGGCGAGGUGGCCGGAGACGGGCGUGAGAGAGGUGGAAAUCCCGCGGCCUUCGUGUUCGUCCCGCGCCCAGGUCGGGUGCGCUUGCAGUAGGGGGUUACAAGCGUCCACGCGGGUGAGGGAAGCGAGCGGCCCCAAGAGAGCGCCUGUCCCGCCCUCGUCCCCGCGCGACCAACCUUCUCUAAUGUGGCAGAACCUCCCAAGUUAUUAGGCCCACAUGCACCUGUCCUUGUCUCAAAGACCUCAGACGGCAUGCAUGUGCACCAGAUAACUUAACAGGAUCCGUCCGAUUGCCCCAAGGACAUCGGAUAAACCACUUACAACCAGAAUCGCAAGAUUAAGUAACACAAAUCACACACCAACAGUUUGCAGCGGAAAUCUUAUUAUCAAAUUUUACAAGUUACAAAAAUUUUACUUGGUACAUGAUCGGAGUGAUUAUAAAAGUAUAAGUUUGAAAUAUAUGCUAGCUCAAGUGAUCAUCCUCAAUAAGAAGUAUAGAAGGGUUACUUAGACUUAUAAGAAGGCCGAGCCCACCGGCACUUAACACCAUCAUUAGCAGCACAAAACUAUAACCUGAAAAACAACAGGGAAUAAAACCCUGAGUACGGAAUUACUCAGCAAGUCUUACCCGACUAAGGAAAAGACUCUCAAGGGUAUGCUGGAUAAAUAGGAAUCAAGGUGAGGCUUUAGCAAGAAUCAACUUAGAUACUUUUGCAGAAAUAGCUUACUAAAGUGAGUCCUUACUUUCAAUAUUUUAACGCCAGAUUAAAUAUUUAAUAGACUCUAUUUGCAUCUAGUCUAAUUUCAUCAUCUCAUCAAUACAACAUCAUUUUUAUCCAUAGUGUUCACAUCUUGACUUAGGUUGUAGGUCAGAGCUCAAGUCUCCACUGUCCGGGGAUAUAACGGCGAUCCGAAUCGAUUUACUCAGCUGAGGAUCUCUAACCACACGACAUAUGUUUCUCGUAAACCUUGAUGUCUACUAUUCCCACGGAUCCUCCACUGCAUGAACAGGUCCGCGCCACCCGAGAGUACACCACCCUUUUUAGGCGAUCCGUUGCCAGGAGGGUACGUGCCACUCUCGCCAUCUCUCCACGCCCAGUGCGCGAUUGUCUUUUCAUGUAUGGAAUAGCCGGGUUCAAGCUUACCCUGUCCCAUUCUCAGGGCAUGUGGCUAGAUAAGAUAGUCCUUGAUCAACAGGCCUACAUACGCAUCCAAUCCUUAAUUGACCCGGGCGGAGCAUCACCUGUUCCUAGCCCAAGUCUCGAUUUAAGUAUUUCCAUCCUUAGGAUUGUGUCUGUUCCUUAGGAUGAAAGAGCAUCACAGGGAACUUUGCAGUAAGAUCCCACUAUUGCUCCAAAUGAAAAUAUUCUUGCAGGUAGAAGCCAUCCUCUCCAUGGUUAAAUUGAGGACAACCUCUAUCCACAAGAUCUAAGCAAGGCUAAGCAUUUUUGUAAAUCAUAUUUUGAUACUUCACAGAAGUAUCUAUAAAGGUAUGGAUAUCAAGGAAAGCAAUGCAUCAAAGGGUUUCAAGUAACUCCUAUGAACCUAAUGCACAUUUCACUAGACUUAAGUGUGCAAAAAGUAUUUAAAAACACAAGGAAAGGGGUUGCAUGCACCGGGGCUUGCCUGGGAUAAACACUAGGUUAGUGUUGUUAGACGAUGUCUGCUUGACGACCAUUCUUGUCCUAGCACUUGAUCGGCAGGUUCGUCUAUUAGCACCACCAUGCGGAGUAGCCCGCGCUUGAGGUCAACUUGGUUCGUCUUUCGCAUCGCGCGAUUAAUAAGCGUACCUAAAUGAUUUGCAUAAUGCACAUGAAUGCAUAGCACUGACUUCAUUCCACAACUAAAAUUCCUCGCAUAAAAUGCCGAUAGCGCCUACCGGCAAAACACUAAAAUUACUAAACAAAUAAAUCUAGCUUACCAGCAUCAAACGUGACUCAAUACUUGCGAGUAUGCUGAUAAAUCCUGGCUCGAGCUUGUCGUUGAACAUCUGACGUUGUGGUGCGGCUUCACUUUCUUCUCCAUACCUUCCGGUGAUUUCUCUCAAACCAGCGACGAUCGACGAGGAUUGCGAACAUGACGAGAGGGCGAAAACCAUCUAUCACAACAACUCUCUCUACCCCGUAAACAGCAUCUAAAACAGCCAUAUGAAGUAGUGUUGAGAUCUUCCGCCCCCAUGACCUAGAUGGGGCUGACCAAGAGGAGGCGAAACACGACGAGACGCGUAUCGGAAGAGUUACUGGGAUUAAAGAUGACGACACGCAUCAAGGCGAGGCGACAUAUGGCGGUGAAAAAAUAGGAAUGAAUGACGACGAGAGACAGCACAGUUGCGUGGGACUUGGCGAUAACGGCGAGCUGGACCAUUGGUCAGCUCAGCAGACACGACCAAGAAAAUUUACGAGCACACGUGAGCGAGCAGUUGAGUGAUGGUGGCGAAGCUUGCUGGUUUGACACGGAAAGGAUCAACAAAGUCGACAGCCAAUCGGUGAACCGAAGAUUGGGAGUGACAGCCGAUGAAGAGCUUAUCUCUAGAGAGCCACGCAAGUGAAACUGAAAAUUAAUCUGACAGUGGUUCAGCGGCAACUGAUGGCCGGUAGAAGAACGUGGCUGCCCAGAGGAGCUGCAGGGAGGAACGGCGUGCUUAUCUACUGAAAGGAAAGGACCUCGGCUGGGAGAGGGAACUGGCUACCGGGCUUGCUUGGUACAAGAAGCCGAGGGCGAGCUCGGCAGGACGCAGAGAGGAGCGCUGUCGAGCAGAGAAAAUUAGCGCGCGCGGCGAUGGGAGCUCUGCGGCAGAGGAGGACGCCGACCAGCGCGCAGGGGAGCAGGACGGGGGCAAUCGACGCCAUGGAGGUGGAGCUCGAAGACGACGGCGACUUGGGCGAGCUCCAGGGAGAAACUGGGAGCCGCGGCACGGAGGAGCAGGGGCUAGCUACCAUGGGGAAAAGCUUCGGGAGAAGGGAGACGACCGAGCAGAGAGCUUCGCGAGCUGGGAUCCGGCGCGUGCGCAUGGAGGAAUUCGAGCGCGCUGACUGGGGACAGGGAGAGAGACGGGCUGAGGAAGGAGAUGGAUGCGCAGGGGAGGCACGCGCCAAAGAAGCUCCACCGGCGAGUAGGGAAGACGCCGAGCAGAGGAGCACGGACUCGACCGAGACACAGAGACAACGUAGAGGUGCUGUGGCGAUGGAAGAACCUGGUGGCGCGUACGAUGGCUGGAAUCAGAGAAUAUCUAGGCAGAGGAGAUAACGAAUGGGACAGUUGUGAACCUGGACGUCGGCGUGAGGAGAUGAGCAUGCCACGUAAACGAUCAGAGAAGGGAUGAGAACGAGUGAUCGACUGUGAAAAAAAAAUCUGCGGGAGGUAGACGACGGUUUUAUCCAAUACGAUGUGCUGGAGAUAAGGUUGAUCAUGAGUUGGAGAUAGGAACGGCAAAUGGUGAUCGGAUCACGGUAAAAGAAGAAAAUUAGAGUUUUUCUCCAAGUUUUUCUUUUUCAGAAAAGAUAGGGAUAAAUACAUAUACUCUAAUUAGGGUUUAAAAGAUGUAUAAAUGGAUCAUACCAAAACGAGAUUGACGAUAAUAUUUGGAUAGAAUUUGAUUUGGUCAAUAUGGCGAAGUCAAAAGAAUUUUUACCCGUUAUUUAUAUCUAAAAUUUGGAUUUAAAACGAGGAGUAAACGGACCAAUUUAAAGCGCUAUGCCAAUUUAAAGCGCUAUCAUUAAUAAAUUAUUUUCUCAGAUUUUUAAAUAGGAAAGCGAAUCGGCUAAUCGUUGUUUAGAUAGCUUUUGUGACUAUGCUGGGCAACACGUAAGCGGACUGACUAUCGGAUACAUUAUUUGAGACAACACUGGUUUAGUCGAACUCGGAUAAAAAUUUAUCCGAUGUCUAAACACAGUUGAUUUUAUUAUUAUUAUUAUUUUACAGAGUGUUCCGAAUAAUAAAUUAGAUUAUAACCUCGCGCACGAUUUUUCUCGGACAAAGCGCGAUUCAGAUUAUUUUGCCCCGAACAUUUUAGUCGUCGAGUUCAAAUUACUCUGCCCGGGAUAAAAUCAUCAAAGUGGGUCGAGCUUCCAAAUUCGUAUCCGCGCGAGCGAUGUAUUUUAAAUAAUCACCGGACGCACCGGUUUUUGGAACAAAGAAGUUCCGAACAUCACGAAAAUUUAGGAAGAGCCCGGAUAAAUAGAAGUAAAAAUGAUGUCGCACUCGCGACAAAUGGAACAGAUGCGAUAUUAAAAUCGCAAUAGGUGAAAAUAAUUAGACCUUAGUGUCCGUCUUAUUCACUGAUAUCACGUGCUUAAAUCCGUACUCGUUGUCGAGCGGAAUAUAAACACCUGGGGUGUUACAGCCCUCCCCCCUUAAAAGAAUCUCGUCCCGAGAUUCGAAGUGAAAGACUUCUAAGGGUAGAGAAGCAUGUAACCCAUAUCUACAUCAGCGAUAAUCAUAAGACAAUCCUGAGCGAAGGCGAGUACCUCAGGAUGUCGUUUCUCUAGCGGAUAUAACAUGUAUUGCCUUAGGCUAAUUAAGAAAUGUCCAUUAGUAGAGACAAUGUCUACCAAAAGAACACAUAAGGUUUCAUGUGUGCAGUUUGCUUUCUGAUAACACUGUACUAUCUGAGUCUGUUGAGCGAGCGGUAAUUACGCGAUUUUAUCCAAACAGAAUCAGAUGCAACCUCUUGGGUAAAACACACAGAAAAAGGUUUACCAACAAGUGGUCACAGUAACUUCAUAGCACAGGGGACGGGUGUGAAUAUCGAAUAACAUCACAGUUGACCCGUAGCUGGCCAGAAAAUCCAAGUCCAUGAAAGGUGAUAUUAGUCGACUUAACUUGAGUUUUGCAAGUACUUCUUUAGGAUGGUUUGGACUAAAGUGAGUUUAGGAAACUCGAUAAAACGAUCUCUAAACUCAAUCUUUGUUUACAAAGCAGUUACAAGUUAGUAAAACUGACUUGUUGAACUACUUUUGACAUUAAGUAGAUCCUCUCAGUACCAUCGGUAAGCCAAGGGUUGAGAGUUCACUCUGUUAACAAGAGAUUAUGUAUUUGGGUAAAAAUCUAUUUGGCCAAAUUGUUCAUCCGUUUCUUCAUGCGAGAUGAACGGACAGGGUUCGGAAAUACAUGGAUUAAAUAGGGGAGCAAAUGAACAACUCCUGCAUCUCAGCAGCAGGGAAAGUCAAUCUCCAUUUUGAGAGCUAAUCAGUUGUUUUCCAACACUAAAAAGCUCCAAGGUUUUACCUUUACACAAAGGAUGUAAAGGGAACAUGUAUGUGUGAAGUGACCAUCAAAGUCAAGAGAUAAGAGAUCACACAUGAAUGUGGUAUGCCCUUUUGAUCCAAUAGAGAUGACAAAUGUUGCUUGAUCACUUCACAAACAACAUCUAAAUCGUUUCAAGGAAAAGGUCUACAGGAGUUAACACAUCAGUGUAGUUCCAUAAUGGAUCAUGACCAGAGACCUUGAUACCAGCAUCCGACGAGUAGCACGGUCCUGCGUGCGCAUUCACAGGAGGCUCUCAGUUUCGCUGCGGCACCAUAAGUCAUUAAUCGUGACACCAUUACCAAACAGCACCAAUAAUGAACUCACAUGGAGGAACAAUUUGUGCAGAGAUAACAUAUUGAUAUAAUCUCAUAAUGGAUUAUGACUGCUAACGAUGAUACCAACGCGUGCCAAGUGGCGCAACCAUGUGUUGAUCACCCACUGGAGGCCCUUGGUUUCGUCGCGGCACCAUCGGCUUUAGUCAUAACACCAUUACCAGAUGCAACCAAUAAGAAAUCUUAUGCCCCACCACUAGAUUAAGCAAGGGUGACAAUAUGCAAAGAGACUCUACCUGUCAAAACGGUUACAAGUAGAGAGCCAAAUAGAUCAUGGCCCGAUGAAAGGAACAAGGUAUGGCCAUAACCUAAAAUACAUUGAGGAGGGAGUACGAUGGGAGACUGUUAAUUCAGUCCCAAGCAUAUUUCUAUGCCCAUCAAAGAGAUUACAAGGUCAAGGAUUAAGUUGGUAUGCCUUCGAUAGGUAUGGGGAAACCAAAGGCAUCAAAUUCAAGGAAAUGAUCGAACAGGUCUUUCCUGAGUUAGGUUGAAAAAGCAACAUGGCGAUCCUUAAGAACAGGCAAACUGGAAUAGAGACAUCAGCUUGCACAAAUCGAAUAAGGGCAUGGUCUAGGAUGGAGACAUGACUCGAAAUUCUUGUUUUAAGCUUGGGUACACUUUAUGCCCACCAAAGAAAUUAUCUAAGCAUUUAUUUUUAGGUGUUUGGUCAUGGAGUGAUAAUGGAAAAUUCAAAUUUGGGUCACGGUGCACUAAAUAAGAACAUGGCCUAAUUUUGGGUUCAGGCAAACAAGUCACUAACCUUCUAUCGACACAUCAAACACAAGAACAACAACAUAUAAGACCUUAACAGAUUACCUAAGAACGGAGGACAACUAUUUUCUCGAAGUUCGUAAUACAAUAUUACACCACAUUAUUUACAAUCAAUGGUUACUGGAAUAAGGCGAGAGAAGCAUUUUGGGUGUAUGGGUGACAAACAGGAUGCAACAAUCAAGAUGCAUGCUUGUCCUAUACGGCCUCACUGAUUUUGCCAACAUAAUGUGGUAAUAACGUUCUAUAUCGGUGGCAUACGUUCUCUCUCGGUAUUUUGCUAGUCGUCAGCUACACAUACGUUUUCGAGGUUAGUGUACCUGCAGAAAAUCCAUCACAGCCCAAUUUCCAAUGAUGCAGUUCACACAUGACAUUUUAUCACAGUUUAUACUCCAUAUAUUGCUAUAUGAAGGCCAGCUCAUCAUUAAGCGCCGAGCCACGCAUAGGCGCCGUUGCCACACUUUAACCAUAGGGCAACUCAUUAUGGUAACUCACCUUCUUACCUGAGCGUAGGUGCGUCGUUACAAGUACAAUACAUUUCUCAGUAUUCUCAUGUCUGUAUACCCAUACACAUCCAUGGGGUACUGAAUUCCCGGAAAAGUAAAUACUCCACAUCGCAGCCUUCAUAUAUACAUAUGUAAAACAUGUAUAUAAUCAAGCGCCACAAUUAAGCACUUCCCUAGACCGACGUUUGUUCGGUCAUGCUCUCACAUCUCACCUUACCUGAGUGUCGAUCCAUUCAAAAACUGAAUGGCCUCAAAAACAACAAUACACAUGUAUGCAAUACCCACCCAGUUAUGGUUUUCAACUAAGCCACCUGAUAGUCCUUACUUUAGGGCUUAAGAGAGGAUGUCGCUAGCAUUAUAGUUUUUCAAAACGGUUUUUCAAAACCAAACAAUGUGUUUAGGUAAAAAUAGGUUUUUCGAAACCAAAACUUUUGUUUUGAAAAUACGUAUGUGACCGUAUAUACUUAAUCCAGCUCCGAUACCAGCUGUGGCAGAACCUCCCAAGUUAUUAGGCCCACAUGCACCUGUCCUUGUCUCAAAGACCUCAGACGGCAUGCAUGUGCACCAGAUAACUUAACAGGAUCCGUCCGAUUGCCCCAAGGACAUCGGAUAAACCACUUACAACCAGAAUCGCAAGAUUAAGUAACACAAAUCACACACCAACAGUUUGCAGCGGAAAUCUUAUUAUCAAAUUUUACAAGUUACAAAAAUUUUACUUGGUACAUGAUCGGAGUGAUUAUAAAAGUAUAAGUUUGAAAUAUAUGCUAGCUCAAGUGAUCAUCCUCAAUAAGAAGUAUAGAAGGGUUACUUAGACUUAUAAGAAGGCCGAGCCCACCGGCACUUAACACCAUCAUUAGCAGCACAAAACUAUAACCUGAAAAACAACAGGGAAUAAAACCCUGAGUACGGAAUUACUCAGCAAGUCUUACCCGACUAAGGAAAAGACUCUCAAGGGUAUGCUGGAUAAAUAGGAAUCAAGGUGAGGCUUUAGCAAGAAUCAACUUAGAUACUUUUGCAGAAAUAGCUUACUAAAGUGAGUCCUUACUUUCAAUAUUUUAACGCCAGAUUAAAUAUUUAAUAGACUCUAUUUGCAUCUAGUCUAAUUUCAUCAUCUCAUCAAUACAACAUCAUUUUUAUCCAUAGUGUUCACAUCUUGACUUAGGUUGUAGGUCAGAGCUCAAGUCUCCACUGUCCGGGGAUAUAACGGCGAUCCGAAUCGAUUUACUCAGCUGAGGAUCUCUAACCACACGACAUAUGUUUCUCGUAAACCUUGAUGUCUACUAUUCCCACGGAUCCUCCACUGCAUGAACAGGUCCGCGCCACCCGAGAGUACACCACCCUUUUUAGGCGAUCCGUUGCCAGGAGGGUACGUGCCACUCUCGCCAUCUCUCCACGCCCAGUGCGCGAUUGUCUUUUCAUGUAUGGAAUAGCCGGGUUCAAGCUUACCCUGUCCCAUUCUCAGGGCAUGUGGCUAGAUAAGAUAGUCCUUGAUCAACAGGCCUACAUACGCAUCCAAUCCUUAAUUGACCCGGGCGGAGCAUCACCUGUUCCUAGCCCAAGUCUCGAUUUAAGUAUUUCCAUCCUUAGGAUUGUGUCUGUUCCUUAGGAUGAAAGAGCAUCACAGGGAACUUUGCAGUAAGAUCCCACUAUUGCUCCAAAUGAAAAUAUUCUUGCAGGUAGAAGCCAUCCUCUCCAUGGUUAAAUUGAGGACAACCUCUAUCCACAAGAUCUAAGCAAGGCUAAGCAUUUUUGUAAAUCAUAUUUUGAUACUUCACAGAAGUAUCUAUAAAGGUAUGGAUAUCAAGGAAAGCAAUGCAUCAAAGGGUUUCAAGUAACUCCUAUGAACCUAAUGCACAUUUCACUAGACUUAAGUGUGCAAAAAGUAUUUAAAAACACAAGGAAAGGGGUUGCAUGCACCGGGGCUUGCCUGGGAUAAACACUAGGUUAGUGUUGUUAGACGAUGUCUGCUUGACGACCAUUCUUGUCCUAGCACUUGAUCGGCAGGUUCGUCUAUUAGCACCACCAUGCGGAGUAGCCCGCGCUUGAGGUCAACUUGGUUCGUCUUUCGCAUCGCGCGAUUAAUAAGCGUACCUAAAUGAUUUGCAUAAUGCACAUGAAUGCAUAGCACUGACUUCAUUCCACAACUAAAAUUCCUCGCAUAAAAUGCCGAUAGCGCCUACCGGCAAAACACUAAAAUUACUAAACAAAUAAAUCUAGCUUACCAGCAUCAAACGUGACUCAAUACUUGCGAGUAUGCUGAUAAAUCCUGGCUCGAGCUUGUCGUUGAACAUCUGACGUUGUGGUGCGGCUUCACUUUCUUCUCCAUACCUUCCGGUGAUUUCUCUCAAACCAGCGACGAUCGACGAGGAUUGCGAACAUGACGAGAGGGCGAAAACCAUCUAUCACAACAACUCUCUCUACCCCGUAAACAGCAUCUAAAACAGCCAUAUGAAGUAGUGUUGAGAUCUUCCGCCCCCAUGACCUAGAUGGGGCUGACCAAGAGGAGGCGAAACACGACGAGACGCGUAUCGGAAGAGUUACUGGGAUUAAAGAUGACGACACGCAUCAAGGCGAGGCGACAUAUGGCGGUGAAAAAAUAGGAAUGAAUGACGACGAGAAACAGCACAGUUGCGUGGGACUUGGCGAUAACGGCGAGCUGGACCAUUGGUCAGCUCAGCAGACACGACCAAGAAAAUUUACGAGCACACGUGAGCGAGCAGUUGAGUGAUGGUGGCGAAGCUUGCUGGUUUGACACGGAAAGGAUCAACAAAGUCGACAGCCAAUCGGUGAACCGAAGAUUGGGAGUGACAGCCGAUGAAGAGCUUAUCUCUAGAGAGCCACGCAAGUGAAACUGAAAAUUAAUCUGACAGUGGUUCAGCGGCAACUGAUGGCCGGUGGAAGAACGUGGCUGCCCAGAGGAGCUGCAGGGAGGAACGGCGUGCUUAUCUACUGAAAGGAAAGGACCUCGGCUGGGAGAGGGAACUGGCUACCGGGCUUGCUUGGUACAAGAAGCCGAGGGCGAGCUCGGCAGGACGCAGAGAGGAGCGCUGUCGAGCAGAGAAAAUUAGCGCGCGCGGCGAUGGGAGCUCUGCGGCAGAGGAGGACGCCGACCAGCGCGCAGGGGAGCAGGACGGGGGCAAUCGACGCCAUGGAGGUGGAGCUCGAAGACGACGGCGACUUGGGCGAGCUCCAGGGAGAAACUGGGAGCCGCGGCACGGAGGAGCAGGGGCUAGCUACCAUGGGGAAAAGCUUCGGGAGAAGGGAGACGACCGAGCAGAGAGCUUCGCGAGCUGGGAUCCGGCGCGUGCGCAUGGAGGAAUUCGAGCGCGCUGACUGGGGACAGGGAGAGAGACGGGCUGAGGAAGGAGAUGGAUGCGCAGGGGAGGCACGCGCCAAAGAAGCUCCACCGGCGAGUAGGGAAGACGCCGAGCAGAGGAGCACGGACUCGACCGAGACACAGAGACAACGUAGAGGUGCUGUGGCGAUGGAAGAACCUGGUGGCGCGUACGAUGGCUGGAAUCAGAGAAUAUCUAGGCAGAGGAGAUAACGAAUGGGACAGUUGUGAACCUGGACGUCGGCGUGAGGAGAUGAGCAUGCCACGUAAACGAUCAGAGAAGGGAUGAGAACGAGUGAUCGACUGUGAAAAAAAAAUCUGCGGGAGGUAGACGACGGUUUUAUCCAAUACGAUGUGCUGGAGAUAAGGUUGAUCACGAGUUGGAGAUAGGAACGGCAAAUGGUGAUCGGAUCACGGUAAAAGAAGAAAAUUAGAGUUUUUCUCCAAGUUUUUCUUUUUCAGAAAAGAUAGGGAUAAAUACAUAUACUCUAAUUAGGGUUUAAAAGAUGUAUAAAUGGAUCAUACCAAAACGAGAUUGACGAUAAUAUUUGGAUAGAAUUUGAUUUGGUCAAUAUGGCGAAGUCAAAAGAAUUUUUACCCGUUAUUUAUAUCUAAAAUUUGGAUUUAAAACGAGGAGUAAACGGACCAAUUUAAAGCGCUAUGCCAAUUUAAAGCGCUAUCAUUAAUAAAUUAUUUUCUCAGAUUUUUAAAUAGGAAAGCGAAUCGGCUAAUCGUUGUUUAGAUAGCUUUUGUGACUAUGCUGGGCAACACGUAAGCGGACUGACUAUCGGAUACAUUAUUUGAGACAACACUGGUUUAGUCGAACUCGGAUAAAAAUUUAUCCGAUGUCUAAACACAGUUGAUUUUAUUAUUAUUAUUAUUUUACAGAGUGUUCCGAAUAAUAAAUUAGAUUAUAACCUCGCGCACGAUUUUUCUCGGACAAAGCGCGAUUCAGAUUAUUUUGCCCCGAACAUUUUAGUCGUCGAGUUCAAAUUACUCUGCCCGGGAUAAAAUCAUCAAAGUGGGUCGAGCUUCCAAAUUCGUAUCCGCGCGAGCGAUGUAUUUUAAAUAAUCACCGGACGCACCGGUUUUUGGAACAAAGAAGUUCCGAACAUCACGAAAAUUUAGGAAGAGCCCGGAUAAAUAGAAGUAAAAAUGAUGUCGCACUCGCGACAAAUGGAACAGAUGCGAUAUUAAAAUCGCAAUAGGUGAAAAUAAUUAGACCUUAGUGUCCGUCUUAUUCACUGAUAUCACGUGCUUAAAUCCGUACUCGUUGUCGAGCGGAAUAUAAACACCUGGGGUGUUACAGCCCUCCCCCCUUAAAAGAAUCUCGUCCCGAGAUUCAAAGUGAAAGACUUCUAAGGGUAGAGAAGCAUGUAACCCAUAUCUACAUCAGCGAUAAUCAUAAGACAAUCCUGAGCGAAGGCGAGUACCUCAGGAUGUCGUUUCUCUAGCGGAUAUAACAUGUAUUGCCUUAGGCUAAUUAAGAAAUGUCCAUUAGUAGAGACAAUGUCUACCAAAAGAACACAUAAGGUUUCAUGUGUGCAGUUUGCUUUCUGAUAACACUGUACUAUCUGAGUCUGUUGAGCGAGCGGUAAUUACGCGAUUUUAUCCAAACAGAAUCAGAUGCAACCUCUUGGGUAAAACACACAGAAAAAGGUUUACCAACAAGUGGUCACAGUAACUUCAUAGCACAGGGGACGGGUGUGAAUAUCGAAUAACAUCACAGUUGACCCGUAGCUGGCCAGAAAAUCCAAGUCCAUGAAAGGUGAUAUUAGUCGACUUAACUUGAGUUUUGCAAGUACUUCUUUAGGAUGGUUUGGACUAAAGUGAGUUUAGGAAACUCGAUAAAACGAUCUCUAAACUCAAUCUUUGUUUACAAAGCAGUUACAAGUUAGUAAAACUGACUUGUUGAACUACUUUUGACAUUAAGUAGAUCCUCUCAGUACCAUCGGUAAGCCAAGGGUUGAGAGUUCACUCUGUUAACAAGAGAUUAUGUAUUUGGGUAAAAAUCUAUUUGGCCAAAUUGUUCAUCCGUUUCUUCAUGCGAGAUGAACGGACAGGGUUCGGAAAUACAUGGAUUAAAUAGGGGAGCAAAUGAACAACUCCUGCAUCUCAGCAGCAGGGAAAGUCAAUCUCCAUUUUGAGAGCUAAUCAGUUGUUUUCCAACACUAAAAAGCUCCAAGGUUUUACCUUUACACAAAGGAUGUAAAGGGAACAUGUAUGUGUGAAGUGACCAUCAAAGUCAAGAGAUAAGAGAUCACACAUGAAUGUGGUAUGCCCUUUUGAUCCAAUAGAGAUGACAAAUGUUGCUUGAUCACUUCACAAACAACAUCUAAAUCGUUUCAAGGAAAAGGUCUACAGGAGUUAACACAUCAGUGUAGUUCCAUAAUGGAUCAUGACCAGAGACCUUGAUACCAGCAUCCGACGAGUAGCACGGUCCUGCGUGCGCAUUCACAGGAGGCUCUCAGUUUCGCUGCGGCACCAUAAGUCAUUAAUCGUGACACCAUUACCAAACAGCACCAAUAAUGAACUCACAUGGAGGAACAAUUUGUGCAGAGAUAACAUAUUGAUAUAAUCUCAUAAUGGAUUAUGACUGCUAACGAUGAUACCAACGCGUGCCAAGUGGCGCAACCAUGUGUUGAUCACCCACUGGAGGCCCUUGGUUUCGUCGCGGCACCAUCGGCUUUAGUCAUAACACCAUUACCAGAUGCAACCAAUAAGAAAUCUUAUGCCCCACCACUAGAUUAAGCAAGGGUGACAAUAUGCAAAGAGACUCUACCUGUCAAAACGGUUACAAGUAGAGAGCCAAAUAGAUCAUGGCCCGAUGAAAGGAACAAGGUAUGGCCAUAACCUAAAAUACAUUGAGGAGGGAGUACGAUGGGAGACUGUUAAUUCAGUCCCAAGCAUAUUUCUAUGCCCAUCAAAGAGAUUACAAGGUCAAGGAUUAAGUUGGUAUGCCUUCGAUAGGUAUGGGGAAACCAAAGGCAUCAAAUUCAAGGAAAUGAUCGAACAGGUCUUUCCUGAGUUAGGUUGAAAAAGCAACAUGGCGAUCCUUAAGAACAGGCAAACUGGAAUAGAGACAUCAGCUUGCACAAAUCGAAUAAGGGCAUGGUCUAGGAUGGAGACAUGACUCGAAAUUCUUGUUUUAAGCUUGGGUACACUUUAUGCCCACCAAAGAAAUUAUCUAAGCAUUUAUUUUUAGGUGUUUGGUCAUGGAGUGAUAAUGGAAAAUUCAAAUUUGGGUCACGGUGCACUAAAUAAGAACAUGGCCUAAUUUUGGGUUCAGGCAAACAAGUCACUAACCUUCUAUCGACACAUCAAACACAAGAACAACAACAUAUAAGACCUUAACAGAUUACCUAAGAACGGAGGACAACUAUUUUCUCGAAGUUCGUAAUACAAUAUUACACCACAUUAUUUACAAUCAAUGGUUACUGGAAUAAGGCGAGAGAAGCAUUUUGGGUGUAUGGGUGACAAACAGGAUGCAACAAUCAAGAUGCAUGCUUGUCCUAUACGGCCUCACUGAUUUUGCCAACAUAAUGUGGUAAUAACGUUCUAUAUCGGUGGCAUACGUUCUCUCUCGGUAUUUUGCUAGUCGUCAGCUACACAUACGUUUUCGAGGUUAGUGUACCUGCAGAAAAUCCAUCACAGCCCAAUUUCCAAUGAUGCAGUUCACACAUGACAUUUUAUCACAGUUUAUACUCCAUAUAUUGCUAUAUGAAGGCCAGCUCAUCAUUAAGCGCCGAGCCACGCAUAGGCGCCGUUGCCACACUUUAACCAUAGGGCAACUCAUUAUGGUAACUCACCUUCUUACCUGAGCGUAGGUGCGUCGUUACAAGUACAAUACAUUUCUCAGUAUUCUCAUGUCUGUAUACCCAUACACAUCCAUGGGGUACUGAAUUCCCGGAAAAGUAAAUACUCCACAUCGCAGCCUUCAUAUAUACAUAUGUAAAACAUGUAUAUAAUCAAGCGCCACAAUUAAGCACUUCCCUAGACCGACGUUUGUUCGGUCAUGCUCUCACAUCUCACCUUACCUGAGUGUCGAUCCAUUCAAAAACUGAAUGGCCUCAAAAACAACAAUACACAUGUAUGCAAUACCCACCCAGUUAUGGUUUUCAACUAAGCCACCUGAUAGUCCUUACUUUAGGGCUUAAGAGAGGAUGUCGCUAGCAUUAUAGUUUUUCAAAACGGUUUUUCAAAACCAAACAAUGUGUUUAGGUAAAAAUAGGUUUUUCGAAACCAAAACUUUUGUUUUGAAAAUACGUAUGUGACCGUAUAUACUUAAUCCAGCUCCGAUACCAGCUGUGGCAGAACCUCCCAAGUUAUUAGGCCCACAUGCACCUGUCCUUGUCUCAAAGACCUCAGACGGCAUGCAUGUGCACCAGAUAACUUAACAGGAUCCGUCCGAUUGCCCCAAGGACAUCGGAUAAACCACUUACAACCAGAAUCGCAAGAUUAAGUAACACAAAUCACACACCAACAGUUUGCAGCGGAAAUCUUAUUAUCAAAUUUUACAAGUUACAAAAAUUUUACUUGGUACAUGAUCGGAGUGAUUAUAAAAGUAUAAGUUUGAAAUAUAUGCUAGCUCAAGUGAUCAUCCUCAAUAAGAAGUAUAGAAGGGUUACUUAGACUUAUAAGAAGGCCGAGCCCACCGGCACUUAACACCAUCAUUAGCAGCACAAAACUAUAACCUGAAAAACAACAGGGAAUAAAACCCUGAGUACGGAAUUACUCAGCAAGUCUUACCCGACUAAGGAAAAGACUCUCAAGGGUAUGCUGGAUAAAUAGGAAUCAAGGUGAGGCUUUAGCAAGAAUCAACUUAGAUACUUUUGCAGAAAUAGCUUACUAAAGUGAGUCCUUACUUUCAAUAUUUUAACGCCAGAUUAAAUAUUUAAUAGACUCUAUUUGCAUCUAGUCUAAUUUCAUCAUCUCAUCAAUACAACAUCAUUUUUAUCCAUAGUGUUCACAUCUUGACUUAGGUUGUAGGUCAGAGCUCAAGUCUCCACUGUCCGGGGAUAUAACGGCGAUCCGAAUCGAUUUACUCAGCUGAGGAUCUCUAACCACACGACAUAUGUUUCUCGUAAACCUUGAUGUCUACUAUUCCCACGGAUCCUCCACUGCAUGAACAGGUCCGCGCCACCCGAGAGUACACCACCCUUUUUAGGCGAUCCGUUGCCAGGAGGGUACGUGCCACUCUCGCCAUCUCUCCACGCCCAGUGCGCGAUUGUCUUUUCAUGUAUGGAAUAGCCGGGUUCAAGCUUACCCUGUCCCAUUCUCAGGGCAUGUGGCUAGAUAAGAUAGUCCUUGAUCAACAGGCCUACAUACGCAUCCAAUCCUUAAUUGACCCGGGCGGAGCAUCACCUGUUCCUAGCCCAAGUCUCGAUUUAAGUAUUUCCAUCCUUAGGAUUGUGUCUGUUCCUUAGGAUGAAAGAGCAUCACAGGGAACUUUGCAGUAAGAUCCCACUAUUGCUCCAAAUGAAAAUAUUCUUGCAGGUAGAAGCCAUCCUCUCCAUGGUUAAAUUGAGGACAACCUCUAUCCACAAGAUCUAAGCAAGGCUAAGCAUUUUUGUAAAUCAUAUUUUGAUACUUCACAGAAGUAUCUAUAAAGGUAUGGAUAUCAAGGAAAGCAAUGCAUCAAAGGGUUUCAAGUAACUCCUAUGAACCUAAUGCACAUUUCACUAGACUUAAGUGUGCAAAAAGUAUUUAAAAACACAAGGAAAGGGGUUGCAUGCACCGGGGCUUGCCUGGGAUAAACACUAGGUUAGUGUUGUUAGACGAUGUCUGCUUGACGACCAUUCUUGUCCUAGCACUUGAUCGGCAGGUUCGUCUAUUAGCACCACCAUGCGGAGUAGCCCGCGCUUGAGGUCAACUUGGUUCGUCUUUCGCAUCGCGCGAUUAAUAAGCGUACCUAAAUGAUUUGCAUAAUGCACAUGAAUGCAUAGCACUGACUUCAUUCCACAACUAAAAUUCCUCGCAUAAAAUGCCGAUAGCGCCUACCGGCAAAACACUAAAAUUACUAAACAAAUAAAUCUAGCUUACCAGCAUCAAACGUGACUCAAUACUUGCGAGUAUGCUGAUAAAUCCUGGCUCGAGCUUGUCGUUGAACAUCUGACGUUGUGGUGCGGCUUCACUUUCUUCUCCAUACCUUCCGGUGAUUUCUCUCAAACCAGCGACGAUCGACGAGGAUUGCGAACAUGACGAGAGGGCGAAAACCAUCUAUCACAACAACUCUCUCUACCCCGUAAACAGCAUCUAAAACAGCCAUAUGAAGUAGUGUUGAGAUCUUCCGCCCCCAUGACCUAGAUGGGGCUGACCAAGAGGAGGCGAAACACGACGAGACGCGUAUCGGAAGAGUUACUGGGAUUAAAGAUGACGACACGCAUCAAGGCGAGGCGACAUAUGGCGGUGAAAAAAUAGGAAUGAAUGACGACGAGAGACAGCACAGUUGCGUGGGACUUGGCGAUAACGGCGAGCUGGACCAUUGGUCAGCUCAGCAGACACGACCAAGAAAAUUUACGAGCACACGUGAGCGAGCAGUUGAGUGAUGGUGGCGAAGCUUGCUGGUUUGACACGGAAAGGAUCAACAAAGUCGACAGCCAAUCGGUGAACCGAAGAUUGGGAGUGACAGCCGAUGAAGAGCUUAUCUCUAGAGAGCCACGCAAGUGAAACUGAAAAUUAAUCUGACAGUGGUUCAGCGGUAACUGAUGGCCGGUAGAAGAACGUGGCUGCCCAGAGGAGCUGCAGGGAGGAACGGCGUGCUUAUCUACUGAAAGGAAAGGACCUCGGCUGGGAGAGGGAACUGGCUACCGGGCUUGCUUGGUACAAGAAGCCGAGGGCGAGCUCGGCAGGACGCAGAGAGGAGCGCUGUCGAGCAGAGAAAAUUAGCGCGCGCGGCGAUGGGAGCUCUGCGGCAGAGGAGGACGCCGACCAGCGCGCAGGGGAGCAGGACGGGGGCAAUCGACGCCAUGGAGGUGGAGCUCGAAGACGACGGCGACUUGGGCGAGCUCCAGGGAGAAACUGGGAGCCGCGGCACGGAGGAGCAGGGGCUAGCUACCAUGGGGAAAAGCUUCGGGAGAAGGGAGACGACCGAGCAGAGAGCUUCGCGAGCUGGGAUCCGGCGCGUGCGCAUGGAGGAAUUCGAGCGCGCUGACUGGGGACAGGGAGAGAGACGGGCUGAGGAAGGAGAUGGAUGCGCAGGGGAGGCACGCGCCAAAGAAGCUCCACCGGCGAGUAGGGAAGACGCCGAGCAGAGGAGCACGGACUCGACCGAGACACAGAGACAACGUAGAGGUGCUGUGGCGAUGGAAGAACCUGGUGGCGCGUACGAUGGCUGGAAUCAGAGAAUAUCUAGGCAGAGGAGAUAACGAAUGGGACAGUUGUGAACCUGGACGUCGGCGUGAGGAGAUGAGCAUGCCACGUAAACGAUCAGAGAAGGGAUGAGAACGAGUGAUCGACUGUGAAAAAAAAAAUCUGCGGGAGGUAGACGACGGUUUUAUCCAAUACGAUGUGCUGGAGAUAAGGUUGAUCACGAGUUGGAGAUAGGAACGGCAAAUGGUGAUCGGAUCACGGUAAAAGAAGAAAAUUAGAGUUUUUCUCCAAGUUUUUCUUUUUCAGAAAAGAUAGGGAUAAAUACAUAUACUCUAAUUAGGGUUUAAAAGAUGUAUAAAUGGAUCAUACCAAAACGAGAUUGACGAUAAUAUUUGGAUAGAAUUUGAUUUGGUCAAUAUGGCGAAGUCAAAAGAAUUUUUACCCGUUAUUUAUAUCUAAAAUUUGGAUUUAAAACGAGGAGUAAACGGACCAAUUUAAAGCGCUAUGCCAAUUUAAAGCGCUAUCAUUAAUAAAUUAUUUUCUCAGAUUUUUAAAUAGGAAAGCGAAUCGGCUAAUCGUUGUUUAGAUAGCUUUUGUGACUAUGCUGGGCAACACGUAAGCGGACUGACUAUCGGAUACAUUAUUUGAGACAACACUGGUUUAGUCGAACUCGGAUAAAAAUUUAUCCGAUGUCUAAACACAGUUGAUUUUAUUAUUAUUAUUAUUUUACAGAGUGUUCCGAAUAAUAAAUUAGAUUAUAACCUCGCGCACGAUUUUUCUCGGACAAAGCGCGAUUCAGAUUAUUUUGCCCCGAACAUUUUAGUCGUCGAGUUCAAAUUACUCUGCCCGGGAUAAAAUCAUCAAAGUGGGUCGAGCUUCCAAAUUCGUAUCCGCGCGAGCGAUGUAUUUUAAAUAAUCACCGGACGCACCGGUUUUUGGAACAAAGAAGUUCCGAACAUCACGAAAAUUUAGGAAGAGCCCGGAUAAAUAGAAGUAAAAAUGAUGUCGCACUCGCGACAAAUGGAACAGAUGCGAUAUUAAAAUCGCAAUAGGUGAAAAUAAUUAGACCUUAGUGUCCGUCUUAUUCACUGAUAUCACGUGCUUAAAUCCGUACUCGUUGUCGAGCGGAAUAUAAACACCUGGGGUGUUACAUCUAAGAAGGCCCUGGUCCUUCCUUUUAUAGGCGUAAGGAGAGGAUCCAGGUGUACAAUGGGGGUGUAGCAGAGUGCUACGUGUCUAGCGAGGGAGAGCUAGCGCCCUAAGUACAUGCCGAUGUGGCAGCCGGAGAGAUCUUGGCACCCAGUCGGUGUGAUGUCGUGGCCGUCGGAGGAGCAGCGGAGCCUGGCGGAGGGACAGCUGUCGGAGCGGUCGAGUCCUUGCUGACGUCCUCCUGCUUCCGUAAGAGAGCUGAGAGCCGCCGUCGUCACAGGGCACGUGGGGCGCCAUCAUUGCCUAUCUGGCGGAGCUAGCCAGAUGGGACACCGGUCUUGUUCUUUGCGGCCCGAGUCGGCUCGGGGUAGGGUGAUGAUGGCGCUUCCUGUUGACGUGGCGGGCCCGCGCCCGAGGUCGGGCGACGUGGGGGCUCCUCCGAAGCCGGGGUUGAGUCUGUCUUCCGUGGCCGAGGCCGAGCCCGAGCCCCUGGGUCGGGCGAGGCGGAGGUCAUUCGGCAGAGGCCGGGGCGGAGUCCGAGCCCUGGGGUCGGGCGAAGCGGAGUUCGUCGUCUUCUGGGGCUGAGCCCGAGUCCGAGCCCUGGGUCGGGCGAAGCGGAGUUCGUCGUCUUCUGGGGCUGAGCCCGAGUCCGAGCCCUGGGUCGGGCGGAGCGGAGUUCGUCGUCUUCCGGGGCUUAGCCCGAGUCCGAGCCCUGGGUCGGGCGGAGCGGAGUUCGUCGUCUUCUGGGACUGAGCCCGAGUCUGAGCCCUGGGUCGGGCGGAGCGGAGUUCGUCGUCUUCCGGGGCUUAGCCCGAGUCCGAGCCCUGGGUCGGGCGGAGCGGAGUUCGCCGUCUUCCGGGGCUUAGCCCGAGUCCGAGCCCUGGGUCGGGCGGAGCGGAGUUCGCCAUCUUCCGGGGCUUAGCCCGAGUCCGAGCCCUGGGUCGGGCGGAGCGGAGUUCGCCGUCUUCCGGGGCUUAGCCCGAGUCCGAGCCCUGGGUCGGGCGGAGCGGAGUUCGCCGUCUUCCGGGGCUUAGCCCGAGUCCGAGCCCUGGGUCGGGCGGAGCGGAGCUCGCCGUCUUCCGGGGCUUAGCCCGAGUCCGAGCCCUGGGUCGGGCGGAGCGGAGUUUCCUAUGGCGCCUUUGCGUUAAAUGCUCCUGCGACUCGGUCGGUCGGCGCGGCAAUUUAGUCAGGGUUGCUUCUUAGCGAAGGCAAGGCCUCGGGCGAGCCGGAGAUGUGUCUGCCAUUAAAAGGGGGGCCUCGGGCGAGACGGAAACCCCUCGGGGUCGGCUGCCCUUGUCCGAGGCUAGGCUCAGGCGAGGCGUGAUCGAGUCGCUCGUAUGGACUGAUCCCUGACUAAAUCCCACCCAUCAGGCCUCUGCAGCUUUAUGCUGAUGGGGGUUACCAGCUGAGAAUUAGGCGUCUUGAGGGUACCCCUAAUUAUGGUCCCCGACAGUAGCCCCCGAGCCUCGAAGGGAGUGUUAGCACUCGCUUGGAGGCUUUCGUCGCACUUUUUUGCAAGGGGACCAGCCUUUCUCGGUUGCAUUUUGUUCCGGUGGGUGCGCGCGAGUGCACCCGCCGGGUGUAGCCCCCGAGGCCUCGGAGGAGUGAUUUCACUCCCUCGAGGUCUUAAUGCCUUGCGUAAUGCUUCGGCUGGUCUGGUUGUUCCCUCAUGCGAACUGGCCGUAGCCCGGGUGCACGGUCGGGGCCCAAGUUCUCGGGCCGGUAUGUUGACGCUGUCAACGGUUCGGCCAGAGCCGAGUUUGCGAGAGCAGCCCCCGAGCCUCCGCACAGGGCGAGAGGGCGAUCAGGGACAGACUCGGCUUUUUUACAUAAGCCCCUACGUCGCCUUUCCGCAAGGAGGAGGGGGGGAGAGCGCCAUGUUACCCUCGAUGGGCACCGAACAUGGUGUCUCCGGUGAGCUGCAAGCGGGUAAUCCGAGUGGACGUCUGUGCCCCGUUCGUUGGGGGUCGGCUAGGGGCCCAGAGGCACGCCCAAAAGUACCUGCGGGUGAUCUGCCGGACCCGGUCCCCUGGCGACGGGGUCCGAGGGCUCGAUGCCUCCCUCCGAUGGGAUUUCGUUACAAGAUCGCUCCCGCUGGUCUCGGAAAUGUCCUAGGGUACCUCGGGAGCGCAGCCCGAGCCUUGGUUAUGUAUCGAACGUACCCCUGGUCAUCCCUCGCUCGGCGUCUGAGGCGACUGUGAACCCUUCGGGGGCCAGCCUUCGAACCCCUGAUCAGUAAUGGGCGCGGAGCCCGAGUAGCCUGAGGCGGCCGUGGAGCCCUUCGGGGGGCCGACCUUCGAACCUCUGACCAGUAGUGGGUGUAGGGCCCACGCGAUCUGAGGCGACUGUUGAACCCCUCGGAGGGCCAGCCUUCGAACCUCUGAUCAGUAGGGGGGCUUGGAGCCCGGUUCCUUCACAGGGAAGGAUCCUUUUCGGGGUAUCCCCCUUUCCCGGUCCCUGUUGCAAGAGAUAGAGAAAGAGGAAAAAAGGAAAAGGAUACGAAAUCGAACGACGUGGCGUACCUUUUUUGGCGCGGUUAUUAUGGCGAAGGCGAAGCGUCGCCCGCUUCUCCUGCCAGAAGCGUCGCCUGUCCCGCCGCGGAGUUAAUGCGAUGGGGUGAGUUGUUGGCGGGGCGGCCGUUGCGCGUGCGCGAGCCGUUCGAGGAACGGAUCACGGGCGCCCUGUCUUCACGCCGUGAGAGGGGGUUCUCUCGCUGCCCCCGGACGGGACGUGAGUCUGGCCGACGACGUGACCGCUGCUCCCGCCUGCCUGCCACCGUCAUUACUGCCGGCCCACUUUUGGCCGUAUUGACCGUCGCGCCAGGCUGGCGCUGCUGGGUCGCGCGCUGGGCCGCCUCGAGUCGCGGUAUUGGUUCUGCAACCGAAGAGGCGCGGUGGUGGCGCAAGUGGCGGUGCGGUUGCUUGCAUGCAGCAUCUGGCGCGCCGGUUGCGUGACGCGUGGGCCUGGGCCUCCAUGCUGGCGCGUUGGGAGUCGGAGAAGCGCGUCCGCCUGGCGCGGUUGCAUUCCGCCUGCAUGACUGCCCGCCCCUUCCGCCCGUUGGUCUGGGCAAAAGUGGGGGGUCGCUUGUAACCGCUGGGCGGUUGUGUGCACCACGCGCGGCGCUUUGGCUUCUUCUGCUCUGAGCCAGUUUGCAUGACACGCGGGACCCAGCCCCCGCGCCGCAGGGAGGGGCCUUGGAGUGUGUUGGAGAAGACUCAGCCCGUGACGUUUGGGGGCGCACGUAGGGAGAGUUACCUUUAAAAGGAGGGUGACCCCUUUCGGAAGGCGACCAUGUCUUCUUCCUCCCUUAUGCGUCGCGUCUUUCCGCCUUCCAAGCCCCUGGAUGGGGGGAACCCGCCGUCUUUUCGCCUCAUCGUUGGAGGAACGCAACUCCAUGGGAGUUGGUACCUUUCAGCCAUCGUUCGGCUUCAAGGAUUUUCAUCAUGCAGCCCGGCUGCACCCCUCCACCGGCGGUCACCCAAGAUGGUGACCUCCGGCUUGAUGGUGGGGGAAAGCGAGCCGGGCUGCGGCCUCUGCCCCUCCCUCGGCCUCGAGGAUUUUCGUCAUCCAGGCCAAGAUGGAGGAUGAGGCGAGUCGGGGGGCUGCCCCCGCGUGGGUCGGCUGCCCUUUUCUUCCCCUGGCGUCUGGGGAAGAAUGGCAUCCUCCAGUUUCGCGGAGACUUCCUCCAGCCAUGCCGGGGAAGGCGAACUGUUGCUGCCCAGCUAGGAUGCAACAUUCCGCCCCCUCCCUCGCAUUCGCGGCGAGGACGGCAGCGAGGACCUGCGGGUGCGCUUAGGAGCGGCCCGCUCUUUGGCUUUAAUAGCUGGUUCGCGUCCCUUGAGCGGGAACGCGAACGAGAGCCCUCCGGUGGCCGCGUCCACCCGGGACCAUGGCUGCUGCUGUAGAGGUCGCUGGCAGGUCUCCCGACGCUCGUCGCCCCGCAGGCUCGAGGUUGCUCAUACCCGCGGGGACGGAACCAGAGUUCCGUUUGAAAUGGCACUUUGAAUGCCAGUGUUUUUGUUCAUUAUGGCUGUCGAGGCCUGAACAUGUGUGUAAUUUUGGCACGGAGCCGUGUUUUUUCCUCAUUUUCGAGCACUAAGACUCGCCUGUUGAUUAUCUGAACCGCUUCACCAAGCAUGAGUCGCCCCGCGUCAAGGUGACGAGUGAGGUAUCCGUAUCCCGGAGGCGUAGGAGUCCCUCGGCUCGAUCGGCCUUGUUGUCUGAGGCUCCUCUAGCUUAGUUAAAGAGACCCCUUGGCUGCUCUUCGACGAGCCGAAGCCAGGGGUAGCGAUAUCAGCACGAACAGAGGCGGAGUUGGCUUGAAAAAUGAAAACCUGGUUGGCCGGAGCCUAGCCGGGUUGUUCGUCAGCGGGACCGAUGCCGGAGUUGAUCAGCCGAGGCCUCGGACCGGGCUGGCGCCCUUGGAAGAUGGUUGGCCGAGGCCCCUGGGGUAACCGGCCGAGCCGCCUGCUCGGGCCGGAUUCCCGGAGAAGUCCCUGGACCGCGUCGCCGUCCGAGGCUGGGUCGGACCUUGCUGAAGGUAUCGUCGAUGCCGAGGGUGCUACAGCUCCCUUCCAGCGUGAAGACCCGAGCCUGCAAGAUCAGAUUGUCUUGUAGCGUGUGCCUUCUGCGGCCGCUGAGGCCAGAAAACACACCCUCGCUGCGUUGUAAAGCUGCGUUUCUUUUCCUCUUGUUUCGAGUAUCUGGACUUUUUGUUGGUAACAGGGAUGUUUGUGCGGGCGAGAGUUGCUUCUCGCGGAAGGUGAUGAGUGAGGUAUCCGUAUCCCGGAGGCGUGGGGGUCCCUCGGCUCGGUCGGCCUUGCCGCUUACGCGUACUUUCACCCGUCCAUGGGACCCUGUCACCGACUCAGUCGAGAAGGCUCGAAGGAUUGCUUCGGCAGAAGGGCUUCCGAACGUAAAGACUUGUUCGGUCCGCGGAAUCACUUUAUCCGAACGCGAGUUACUUAUCGCAGAAGGUGAUGAGUGAGGUAUCCGUAUCCCGGAGGCGUAGGAGUCCCUCGGCUCGGUCAGCCUUGGCUGCUUACAUGUACUCCGUCGUUUCCAGGACCCACUUUUCGAAGUAGUCAAAAAGCACGAAAGAUAUUCUGGCAGAAGAGAUCUUUUUUCGAGGAAAAUUUCGACGCAGAGGGGGUUCCCCCCCUUUUAGCCCCCGAGGGAGGGUCGGGCUUUGCCGAGGCGAGGCCGACCCUUCCUUGAUGACUAAACUCUGCGUGGGUGCGAGGUAUAUGAACAACUUGAAAACAUCUUAAGGGUAGAAGCGACGUAGCUGUUUGAUGUUCCAAGCGUUGCCGUAGACCUCGCCUUGACUGUUGGCCAGCUUGUACGUUCCGGGCUUCAGAACUUUGGCGAUGACGAAUGGCCCCUCCCAGGGGGGCGUGAGCUUGUGCCUCCCUCGGGCGUCUUGCCGCAGCCGAAGCACCAGGUCGCCCACCUGGAGGUCCCGGGGCCGGACCCCUCGGGCGUGGUAGCGCCGCAGGGACUGCUGAUACCGCGCCGAGUGUAGUAAGGCCUUGUCCCGAGCCUCUUCCAGCUGGUCCAGUGAGUCUUCUCGGCUAGCUUGGUUGCUUUGAUCGUCGUAGGCCCUUGUCCUCGGGGAGCCGUAUUCCAGGUCAGUGGGCAAGACGACCUCGGCCCCGUAGACCAGGAAGAACGGUGUGAAACCCGUGGCCCGGCUUGGCGUCGUCCUCAGGCUCCAGACCACCGACGGGAGUUCCUUCAUCCAUCGCUUGCCGAACUUGUUGAGGUCGUUGUAAAUCCGAGGCUUGAGCCCUUGUAGAAUCAUGCCGUUGGCACGCUCUACUUGCCCAUUCGUCAUGGGAUGAGCCACGGCGGCCCAGUUCACCCGGAUGUGGUGAUCCUCGCAGAAGUCCAAGAAUUUUCUGCCGGUGAACUGGGUGCCGUUGUCGGUGAUGAUGGAGUUUGGGACUUCGAAGCGAUGGAUGAUGUUGGUGAAGAACGCCACCGCCUGCUCGGACCUGAUGCUGUUCAGGGGUCGGACCUCGAUCCACUUGGAGAAUUUGUCGAUGGCGACCAGCAGGUGCGUGUAGCCCCCGAGCGCCUUCUGCAAGGGACCGACAAGGUCCAGACCCCACACAGCAAAGGGCCAGGUGAUGGGUAUCGUCUGCAGAGCUUGAGCGGGCAGGUGGGUCUGCUUCGCAUAGAAUUGGCACCCUUCGUAGGUGCGGACAAUUCUAGUGGCGUCAGCCACCGCCGUUGGCCAGUAGAAGCCUUGCCGGAAAGCAUUCCCGACGAGGGCUCGAGGCGCUGCAUGAUGGCCGCAAGCCCCCGAGUGUAUUUCUCGCAGGAGUUCCUGACCUUCGGCGAUGGAGAUGCAUCGCUGGAGGAUGCCCGAGGGGCUGCGGUGGUAGAGCUCCUUCUCAUCGCCCAGCAAGACGAAUGACUUGGCGCGUCGCGCUACCCGCCGAGCCUUGGCUUGGUCGAGGGGUAGCUCUCCUUGGCGGAGAUAUUGCAGGUACGGUGUCUGCCAAUCUCGAUCAGGCGUGGCCCCGCUCCGCUCCUCCUCGACGUGCAGUGCCUCGCCCUCGGGGGCCGAGGGUACCUCGGGCUGAACCGAGGACGCCUCGGGCUGGGCCGAGGGUACCUCAGGCUGGGCCGAGGGUACCUCGGGCUCGGGCAUGUCGUUGAUCUUGACGGAGGGUUGAUGCAGAUCCUGGGAGAAGACGUCCGGGGGAACCGUCGUUCGCCCCGAGGCUAUUUUUGCCAGCUCGUCCGCAGUCUCGUUGUAGCGCCGAGCGAUGUGGUUAAGCUCGAGCCCGUAGAACUUGUCUUCCAGGCGCCGAACCUCAUCGCAGUAGGCCUCCAACUUCGGGUCACGGCAGUGGGAGUUCUUCAUGACUUGGUCAAUGACGAGCUGUGAGUCACCGCGGGCGUCGAGGCGUCUGACCCCUAGCUCGAGGGCGAUCCGCAACCCGUUGACCAGAGCCUCGUACUCAGCCACAUUGUUGGACGCCGGGAAAUGGAGGCGUAGCACGUAGCGUAGGUGUUUCCCGAGGGGUGAGAUGAAGAGCAGGCCCGCGCCGGCUCCCGUCUUCAUCAGCGACCCGUCGAAAAACAUGGUCCAGAGCUCUGGUUGGAUCGGAGCCGUCGGCAGCUGGGUGUCGACCCAUUCGGCUACGAAGUCCGCCAAUACCUGGGACUUGAUGGCCUUCCGAGGGGCGAACGAGAUUGUCUCGCCCAUGAUUUCCACCGCCCACUUUGCGAUCCUGCCCGAGGCCUCUCGGCACUGGAUGAUCUCCCCCAGGGGGAAGGAUGACACCACAGUUACCGGAUGAGACUCGAAGUAAUGUCGCAACUUUCGCCUCGUCAGGAUCACUGCAUACAGCAGCUUCUGAACUUGUGGGUAGCGGAUCUUGGUUUCGGACAGUACCUCGCUGACGAAGUAAACUGGCCUCUGAACGGGCAAUGCAUGCCCCUCUUCUCGCCUCUCGACCAUAAUCGCGGCGCUAACCACCUGAGUGGUCGCGGCGACGUAGACCAAGAGGGCUUCUCCAUCAGCUGGGGGUUCCAAGAUAGGCGCCUUUGUGAGGAGCGCCUUCAGGUUCCCGAGAGCUUCCUCGGCCUCAGGGGUCCAAGCGAAACACUCGGCCUUCCUUAACAGGCGGUACAGAGGCAGACCCCUUUCGCCGAGGCGGGAGAUGAAGCGGCUCAGGGCCACGAGACAUCCCAUGACCCUCUAUACGCCUUUUAAGUCCUUGAUGGGCCCCAUGCUGGUGAUAGCCGUGAUCUUCUCCGGGUUGGCUUCGAUGCCUCACUCGGAGACGAUGAACCCCAAGAGCAGGCCCCGGGGCACCCCGAAGACACACUUCUCGGGAUUGAGCUUGACGCCUUUCGCUUUGAGACAUCGGAAUGUCACUUCAAGGUCGGAGAGGAGGUCGGAAGCCUUCCUUGUCUUGAUUACGAUGUCAUCGACGUAGGCCUCGACUGUGCGACCGAUGUGUUCGCCGAACACAUGGUUCAUGCACCGCUGGUACGUCACGCCCGCAUUCCUCAAAUCGAACGGCAUGGUGACAUAGCAGUACAUGCCGAAGGGCGUGAUGAAAGAAGUCGCGAGCUGGUCGGACUCUUUCAUCCGGAUUUGGUGAUACCCUGAGUAGGCAUCGAGGAAGGACAGGGUUUCGCACCCAGCAGUGGAAUCCACGAUUUGAUCGAUGCGAGGUAGAGGGUAGGGAACCUUCGGACAUGCUUUGUUGAGACCAGUGUAGUCUACACACAUCCGCCAUUUCCCCCCUUUCUUUCUCACAAGCACAGGGUUGGCAAGCCAUUCGGGAUGGAAUACCUCUUUGAUGAACCCUGCUGCCAUUAGCUUGUGGAUCUCCUCGCCUAUCACUCUGCGCUUCUCCUCGUCGAAUCGGCGCAGAGGCUGCCUGACGGGUCGGGCUCCGGCCCGAAUAUCCAGCGAGUGCUCGGCGACAUCCCUCGGUAUGCCGGGCAUGUCCGAGGGACUCCACGCAAAGACGUCGGCGUUUGCGCGGAGAAAGUCGACGAGCACUGCUUCCUAUUUGGGGUCGAGCCCGGAACCGAUCCGGAUCUGCUUGGAGGUGUUGCCACUGGGGUCGAGAGGGACGGCCUUAACCGUCUCCGCUGGCUCGAAGUUGCCGGCAUGACGCUUCACGUCUGGCACCUCUUUGGAGAGGUUCUCCAGGUCGGCGAUGAGGGCCUCGGACUCGGCGAGGGCCUCAGCGUACUCCACGCACUCCACGUCGCAUUCGAACGCGUGUUUGUACGUGGGGCCGACGGUGAUGACCCCGUUGGGGCCCGGCAUCUUGAGCUUCAGGUAGGUGUAGUUGGGGACGGCCAUGAACUUCGCGUAGCAUGGCCUCCCCAGUACCGCGUGGUAGGUUCCUCGGAACCCGACCACCUCGAACGUCAAAGUCUCCCUUCGGAAGUUGGAGGGCGUUCCGAAGCAGACGGGAAGGUCGAGCCAUCCGAGGGGCUGGACGCGCUUCCCAGGAAUGAUCCCGUGGAAGGGCGCAGCGCCUGCUCGGACGGAGGACAGAUCGACGCGCAGGAGCCUGAGGGUUUCGGCGUAGAUGAUGUUGAGGCAGCUGCCCCCGUCCAUCAGGACCUUGGUGAGCCUGACGUCGCCGACGAUGGGGUCGACGACGAGCGGGUAUUUCCCCGGGCUCGGCACGUGGUCGGGGUGGUCAGCUUGGUCGAAGGUGAUGGGCUUGUCGGACCAGUCUAGGUAGACUGGCGCCGCCACCUUCACCGAGCAGACCUCCCGGCGCUCUUGCUUGCGAUGCCGAGCCGAGGCAUUCGCCGCAUGCCCACCGUAGAUCAUGAAGCAGUCGCGGACCUCGGGGAACUCUCCUGCUUGGUGAUCUUCCUUUUUGUCGUCGUCGCGGGCCCUGCCACCCUCUGCGGGUGGCCCGGCCCUGUGGAAGUGGCGCCGAAGCAUGACGCACUCCUCAAGGGUGUGCUUGACGGGCCCCUGAUGGUAGGGGCAUGGCUCCUUAAGCAUCUUGUCGAAAAGGUUAGCACCUCCGGGGGGCUUCCGAGGGUUCUUGUACUCGGCGGCGGCGACAAGGUCCGCGUCGGCGGCGUCGCGUUUCGCUUGCGACUUCUUCUUGCCUUUCUUCUUGGCGCCGCGCGGAGUAGACGCCUCGGGAGCCUCUUCCGAUGGGCGGCCUUGGGGGCUGCUUGUCCUUUCGGAAGAUGGCCUCGACCGCCUCCUGGCCAGAGGCGAACUUGGUGGCGAUGUCCAUCAGCUCGCUCGCCCUGGUGGGGGUCUUGCGACCCAACUUACUCACCAGGUCGCGGCAGGUGGUGCCGGCAAGGAACGCGCCGAUGACAUCCGAGUCGGUGAUGUUGGGCAGCUCGGUGCGCUGCUUCGAGAAUCGCCGGAUGUAGUCCCGAAGUGUAACGCCCCGAAUUUUGCAGUUGAAUUUUUUCUUUUCUUUACUCGCCAAAUUCGGGCGUUACCUUUUCUUUUUCUUUUUGCCCUCGCUAGACCUUGACCUUUUCCAAAGUUAGCGGGAUUCGGUUUGGAAUUCCCGUGUAAGAAAACCAUAAAACUGUUUUAUGUUGUUUGAUGCACCAUGCCGAACUAUGCAUUCUUUGAUUGUUUGAAAGUGCAAAUGCAUUCAUGUAGAAAGAUCGGAUUUCGAAAAAUAAGGAGAACCUUUUCUUUCUUUUUCUUUUUCUUUCUCUCUCUCCUCUCUUUCUCUCCCUCCCGCGCUGUGGGCCGACCCCGGCCGGCCCAGCCGCCCUUGCGCCCCCUUUUGGGCCCAAAAAGGCCCAACCGCCCCCCCACCUCCCCUUUUUCCCCAAUUCUCUCUCCCUCCCUCUCAUUUUCUCUCAUUUUCUCUCCCCCACCCUAAGCCGCCGCCGCCCCUACCCCCCUGCCCUAGCGCCAGCCGCCGCCCUCGCCGUCGGCCGCCCCUCACCGGUGAGCCCCCCCUCCUCCCUCUCUCCCUCCUCCCUCCCUCUCCCCUCCCCCUCCUCUCUCCUCGGCAGCCCGGCCGCCUGGCCGCCCUGGCCUGGCCGCCUUGGCCGCGCCCCCAGCCGGCCGCUGCCGCGCCGCCCUGGCCCCAGCCGGCCACGGCCGCCCCUGGCCGCGCGCCCCAGCCCCCGCCUGGCCAGCCCCAGCCGGCCCCUGGCCAGCCCCGGCCGCCCGCCUGGCCGCCCCCGGCCGCCCUGGCCCCUGGCCGCGUCCCCCUGCGCAGGGCCGGUUCAACCGCCCUAGGGCCGGUUCAACCGCCCCCCCUGUUUUUUUAUUUUUUUUAUUUUAUUUUAUUUACUUUCUGUGAUCAUAGUUAUUUUAUUUUAGGUAGGCUAAUCAUUGUUAAUGUUAUUGAAAUAUGAAGCUUAAUUUAGAAUUCUGUUACGCUAAUUGAUUCAUGUGAUUAACUGUUUAUCUCGUUCAAUGUUGAUCAACUUAAAAUGACUAAGUUUCCAUUAGUGUAUAUAACAGAAUUCUUUUGUCAAGAACCAGUUGUAACUAAUCAUUAGGGCAUAAAACUUUAACCCCCUGCGAGACCCUUUUCCCGUUUCUUUCUAACCAUAACAAAUGCAAUGUCAAAUGUCAUACUUGAUGCAUAUUCGCUUUAUUUGUUCCCUUGUAUGGUGUACUGUUCUUUUGUAUUAAAUAUGUGGAUGGAUGUAUGUAUGUUUGCGCUCGCAUAGAGAACGAUCCGGUCGAAGAGCCCGAGGAAUUCGCAGGAGAAGCCCCUGAGCAGCAGUCGGUUGGUGGAGGCAAGUGUCCUUUGACCUAUCUCUGUCCUAAUCAUUCUUUAAUUCACCUCCCACAUCACACAUUUAUACCUAAGGAUUGACUAGCUUUUUGUUAUCCAUGUCCUUGUUUACCUAUUUGGGUCGGAUUAUUACUGCUUAGUUUGAUGCUAUUGCUCAACUUUAAUCAAUGAACAUGAUGUGGUUAUCUAUGAUACGCUGUUUUCCCGUUCUUAUUUAUGAUUAUACUUGUGGCAUUUAAGGGGACUCAAGCGGUUUCUCGAGUGCCUCUCCGUAAGGACCCGUUCAAUGGAUGACCGCCCGGGAAAACAGUGCAACCAUGAGGGUGGAAUGGGGUGCCCUUAGCUGAAUAAUUAGAGGAUCCGGGGUGUAGUUCGCUUCGCCGUCGUGCCGUCAAUGGGGCUCGGUGUAUGCGGCUCGCUCUGCCAAGGUUGAUUUGUCCCUUGGGGAGGAGUGCGGUACAUUUAGGAAACCUAACGGGUGGCUACAGCCCCGGGGAAUCUUUGUAAAGGCUUCGUAGUGAAUCCUUGGCCAUUCACCUCGGGAGUGAAUAAGGGUCUUGCAAGCCCGGGCCAGAGAGGGAAUCACGGCUUGUGGGUAAAGUGCACAACCUCUGCAGAGUGUUAUGAAACUGAUAUAUCAGCCGUGCUCGCGGUUAUGAGCGGCCAAGGGAGCUCCAGAGAUUAGUGAUACUUGAUCAGAGAUACUUUGGUACAGGUGACAAUGAGAUUGAUGGUUCUGAUAACGAUUAUGGUAUUGGUAAGUGGUAUUCUUUCCGUUUGGAAAGGAUACAUUGGGCUAAUAACUUGGGUCAAUGUUAAAACCUGGCUUUCUACUAGUAAGUAAUAACCUGACCAACUAAAAGCAACUGCUUGACUUAUCCCCACAUAAAGCUAGUCCACUACAGCCAAACAGGAUACUUGCUGAGUAUGUUGAUGUGUACUCACCCUUGCUCUACACACCAAACCCCCCCCCAGGUUGUCAGCAUUGCAACCACUGCUCAGGCGAAGAUGAGGCUGUGGAAGGAGACUUCCAGGAGUUCCAGGACUACGACGAGUUCUAGGUGUGGGUUAGCGGCAACCCCCCAGUCGGCUGCCUGUGAAGGCCGCGUUAUCUACGUUUCUUUUCCGCACUUUGAUUUAUUGUAAGAACUAUAUGGACGUCUCAGACGUAUGAUGUAAUCGACUAUUUCCCUUAUUAAUACUAUUUUGAGCACUGUGUGAUGAUGUCCAUAUUAUGUAACUGCUGUGUACGUGAAUAACUGAUCCUGGCACGUACAUGGUUUGCAUUCGGUUUGCCUUCUAAAACCGGGUGUGACAUAAGUGGUAUCAAAGCCGUGCUGACUGUAGGACCGCUAACCUAGAGUAGAAUGGUCGUUCUAAGGACUAUAGACCUCUGUCUCUGCCUUGACUUUGAUAUCCCUUCAAAAGUUGGUCAUACCGACCAAACCUAUGUUCUACUAUAUAUUAUACCUUGCUGAAAAUCAUGUUUUAUUCUAAUCCUUCAUUUACUUAUGAUUCAUUAUUUGCUGGUCAUAUUAAUUCUGUUCUCACCCUUUUGCUUGCGAUGUCUUUUAUAGAUGGCUCGACUUAGACACACUGCACGAAAGUCCGUCAUCCCCUUCUUACCCUCCCGCCUUGCUGAGCGUCCGCUUCGCCGUCCCGUGGCCGGACAGUCCAGCCACUUGGAGAGACUACACCACCGCCUGCAUGAGGAGCAGGAACGUCGACGACAGGAGCAGCAGGGCUCUUCUUUCUCGCUCCAGCAGGAGAUAGAGUCUGUGAGGAGCUGCUCUCCUGUGCUUCCUCUGGAGGCGCCCCCUGCACCACCACUGGGCGCCCCAGCUUCUGGAGUAGCUGCUGGAGGAGACCCAGACGACGGAGAUGGCGACGACAGCUCGAGCCACGACACCGACUUCUCUGCUAACCCUGAGCCGGAAGGAUGGGUUGCUCAACCCAUCACUCGUGACGCUGCUCGCGGGUGUCACUUCCACGAUGCGCUCGACACCCUGCUACGUCGGGCAUUUGACCAGCAUACUUGGUCCGUCGAGUAUCGCUGUGUGGUCUACCAGCAUAGUCGCGGGGUCCACCCGGACUGUUGGGAGGCAACUUGCUUGGUGCGCUGCCCGGAGAACAGUCUCCAGGGUGCAGAGGCCUGCUCAGAGCACUAUUCUAUCUCUGAACGGGACUCAGCUGAGGCAGCCAUGCAAGAUGCUGCACGGCGUGCGCUUUCGCACUACUGCUCGGUUUUCGGUGGGGCAGCUGACGGUCUUGACCUGAAGUAUUACCCCCGCCGUCCAUCUGGCAGCACAGGAGGCGUGAUUGUCUCACCUGUCGGUGAGGGCAAUCCUAGGUUGAGCAGCACAGUCAACCUAGCCGCCGUGCUAAACACGGAGCUGGACCAUGCAUUAGACGAGCUGAGUAGGGCUCGUGCUGAGAUCGCCCUGCUGCGGGCUGAGCGCGCGGAACGUCGUCAUCUGGAUGGUGGUUCCCCCGCUCCCGUCGGGACUCAGCACCCGUACCGCUCACCUCAGCGUGGACACCAGCCUUAUGGCAAUCCCGACUGCAAGACCAAGAUAAAUCUAGAACCAUAGAUCGCUAGAGUUGGAUCUUGUAAUUAAUACGAAAUAUAUGCAUAGAAGCUUCAGUCUUAGCGUUAAUCUCGGUCUUAGUUAGUCUUAGUUAGACAGGGUAGUUUGCUAUAUCCUGUGCAUUUAUGUUUGUCAUGAUGAACUAUGUUUGGUUUGGAUCUUUGUAAUGAUUGUCACCAGAGUGUGGGUAUCCCCUGCAUUUUGGUUUACAUAUUAUGUUAAUGGAGUUAGUUAUAUAGUUGGGAAACCUUUUAUUCCACUUUCCUCUUGAUCUGAGAAGUUGUGUGGUCUGUGUUGGAGAUCAGUGAAGAUGCUCACCUGCUCAGUGCUGUUGAAGAAUUCUAUACUCUUUUCUUAUGCUGCAAGAUUUGCCAGAUCAGUUCUGAUGUGUGGUUGCAUUCUGCAGAUGUCAGAGAACAGGCGCAGAGGAGGAAGGCGUGCUCAGCAGGAGCAAGCCGGUCAACAAGAUGAGGCGCCCCAGCAGCAGCAGCUGCCACCCCCGCCCCCGAUGUCGAUCGAGCAAAUGUUUAUGAUGCAGACUCAGGCAGUUCAAGCCAUCGGUCAGACUCUGGCCGCCAUUCAGCAGCAGCAACAGCAGCAAGCACCACCCCAGCCUCAGAUGCCUCAGAUGCCCAGAGACAAGCGUGCUGAAUUCAUGAGAGGUCAUCCCCCAACGUUCGCUCAUUCUUCUGACCCCAUGGAUGCUGAGGAUUGGCUGCGCACUGUGGAGCGGGAGUUGCAUACCGCUCAGUGCGAUGACACGGAGAAAGUUCUGUAUGGUCCCCGUCUGUUGAGAGGAGCAGCCCAGUCAUGGUGGGAGUCUUACCUCGCCACCCAUGCCAACCCCGACACCAUCACCUGGGAAGAAUUCAGAGGUAGCUUUCGUCAGUACCACGUGCCUGCAGGUCUGAUGACAGUGAAGAAGGAGGAGUUCCUGGCCCUUAAGCAAGGGUCAUCAUCUGUCAGUGAGUAUCGAGACAGGUUUCUGCAAUUGUCUCGCUAUGCUCCUGAGGAUGUCAACACUGACGCCAAGCGACAAUACCGUUUUCUGAGAGGCUUGGUCGACCCCCUGCAGUAUCAACUGAUGAAUCACACCUUCCCGACAUUCCAGCACCUGAUUGAUAGAGCGAUCAUGACAGAAAGGAAGCGUAAGGAGAUGGAAGAUCGUAAGCGCAAGAUCAGUGGACCCCAGCCUGGAAGCAGCAGCCGCCCUCGUUUCUCAGGCAAUCAACCUCAGCAGUUCAGGCAGAACCAGCGUCCACCUCAGCAGCGUCAGCAGCAUCAGCAGUUCCAAAGGCAGUAUCCUCAGCAUCAGUACCAGAACCGUCAGAGCAAUCAGUCAGGAGGUCAGUUUCAGAAGCAGAAUCAGCAACCACCUCGUCUUCCUGCCCCAGCAAACCAGCAGAACAGUCAGGCAGCACCAGCUCAGGUUGGAAACAGGGCAUGUUUCCACUGUGGAGAGCAAGGCCAUUGGGUGAUGCAAUGUCCGAAGAAGGCAGCCCAGCAGCAGUCAGGCCCCAAUGCCCCAGCAAAGCAGAAUGUGUCUCAGCCUGGAGCAGGCAACCACCCUCAACAGCGCUAUAAUCAUGGAAGAUUGAAUCACUUGGAGGCUGAAGCAGUUUAGGAGACCCCCGGCAUGAUAGUAGGUAUGUUCCCAGUCGACUCCCAUAUUGCAGAAGUGUUAUUUGAUACUGGAGCAACGCAUUCUUUCAUUACUGCAUCAUGGGUAGAAGCACAUAAUCUUCCAACUACUACCAUGUCAACCCCCAUUCAAAUUGACUCAGCUGGUGGUAGAAUUCGAGCUGAUAGCAUUUGUUUAAAUAUAAGUGUGGAAAUAAGGGGGAUAGCGUUUCCCGCCAACCUUAUAGUAAUGGGUACUCAGGGAAUAGAUGUCAUCCUAGGGAUGAAUUGGUUAGAUAAGUAUCAGGCAGUUAUCAGUUGUGAUAAAAGGACAAUCAAGUUGGUGUCCCCACUAGGAAAGGAAGUGGUGACCGAGUUAGUCCCACCUGAGCCGAAGAAAGGAAGUUGUUAUCAGAUGGCUGUCGAUAGCAGUGAAGCAGAUCCAGUUGAGAGUAUCAAGGUUGUGUCUGAAUUCCCAGAUGUGUUUCCAAAGGAUUUACCGGGUAUGCCACCAGAGCGGAAAGUUGAGUUUGCCAUAGAGCUUCUUCCUGGAACCGCCCCCAUCUUUAAGAGAGCUUACAGAAUAUCCGGACCAGAGUUGGUUGAGCUUAAGAAGCAGAUUGAUGAGCUGUCAGAGAAAGGUUACAUUCGGCCAAGCACCUCGCCUUGGGCCGCCCCUGUCUUAUUUGUGGAAAAGAAAGAUGGCACCAAGAGGAUGUGCAUCGAUUAUCGAGCUUUGAAUGAGGUCACGAUCAAGAACAAGUAUCCCUUGCCCAGAAUAGAAGAUCUGUUCGACCAGUUGAGAGGAGCCAGUGUGUUCUCCAAGAUUGAUCUGAGGUCAGGUUAUCAUCAGCUCAGGAUCCGACCUUCGGACAUUCCGAAGACGGCAUUCAUUUCCAAGUAUGGUUUGUACGAAUUCACAGUGAUGUCUUUUGGUUUAACCAAUGCACCAGCCUUCUUUAUGAAUCUGAUGAACAGUGUAUUCAUGGAUUAUCUCGAUAAGUUUGUGGUGGUAUUCAUUGAUGACAUUCUGAUUUAUUCCCAAAGCGAAGAAGAGCACGCAGAUCAUUUGAGGAUGGUAUUGCAGAGAUUGCGAGAGCACCAGUUGUACGCAAAGUUGAGCAAGUGUGAGUUCUGGAUCAGCGAAGUCCUGUUCUUGGGUCACAUAAUCAACAAGGAAGGAUUGGCUGUGGAUCCGAAGAAAGUGGCAGACAUUCUGAACUGGAAAGCGCCAACGGAUGCUCGAGGAAUCAAGAGCUUCAUUGGAAUGGCCGGAUACUAUCGGCGAUUCAUUGAAGGGUUUUCGAAGAUUGCGAAGCCAAUGACAGCGUUGCUAGGCAACAAGGUUGAGUUCAAAUGGACCCAGAAAUGUCAAGAGGCCUUUGAAGCGCUGAAAGAGAAGUUGACUACCUCGCCUGUCCUAAUCUUGCCUGAUGUGCACAAGCCCUUCUCGGUGUAUUGUGAUGCUUGUUACACAGGUUUGGGAUGCGUGUUGAUGCAAGAGGGAAGAGUUGUGGCUUACUCGUCCCGACAGCUGAAGGUUCAUGAGAAGAACUACCCAAUCCAUGAUCUAGAGUUGGCAGCAGUGGUUCACGCACUGAAGACAUGGAGGCACUAUCUGUAUGGACAGAAAUGCGAUGUUUACACAGAUCACAAGAGUCUGAAGUACAUAUUCACUCAGACAGAGCUAAACAUGAGGCAACGAAGAUGGUUAGAGCUGAUCAAAGACUAUGAGUUGGAGAUUCAUUACCAUCCAGGCAAAGCAAACGUAGUGGCAGAUGCUUUGAGCAGAAAGAGUCAAGUCAAUCUGAUGGUCGCUCGCCCGAUGCCUUAUGAGUUGGCCAAGGAGUUCGACAGGUUGAGUCUCGGGUUUCUGAACAAUUCGCGAGGAGUCACAGUUGAAUUGGAACCUACCUUGGAGCGAGAAAUCAAAGAAGCGCAGAAGAAUGAUGAAAAGAUCAGUGAGAUUCGGCGAUUGAUUCUAGAUGGCAGAGGCAAAGAUUUUCGAGAAGAUGCUGAAGGCGUGAUAUGGUUCAAAGACCGCUUAUGUGUUCCCAAUGUCCAGUCUAUUCGAGAGUUGAUCCUCAAGGAAGCUCAUGAGACAGCCUAUUCGAUUCACCCUGGUAGUGAGAAGAUGUAUCAGGAUCUGAAGAAGAAAUUCUGGUGGUACGGAAUGAAGAGGGAAAUCGCAGAGCAUGUGGCUAAGUGCGAUAGUUGUCGAAGAAUUAAGGCAGAGCACCAGAGACCAGCUGGAUUAUUGCAACCGUUGCAGAUCCCUCAGUGGAAAUGGGAUGAAAUUGGUAUGGAUUUCAUAGUCGGAUUGCCUCGCACUCGAGCCGGCUACGAUUCUAUUUGGGUAGUGGUGGACCGUUUGACCAAGUCAGCCCACUUCAUACCUGUCAAGACCAGCUACAACAGUGCAGUAUUGGCAGAGUUGUAUAUGUCUCGGAUCGUUUGUCUUCAUGGUGUGCCAAAGAAGAUAGUGUCAGACAGAGGAACGCAGUUCACCUCUCAUUUCUGGCAGCAAUUGCAUGAAGCCUUGGGCACACAUCUGAAUUUCAGUUCAGCUUAUCACCCGCAGACAGAUGGCCAGACUGAAAGGACCAAUCAAAUUCUCGAAGAUAUGUUGAGAGCCUGUGCGUUGCAAGAUCAGUCCGGAUGGGACAAGCGAUUGCCUUAUGCAGAGUUUUCCUAUAACAACAGUUACCAGGCCAGUUUGAAGAUGUCACCGUUUCAGGCGCUUUAUGGAAGGAGUUGUAGAACUCCGUUGCAAUGGGAUCAGCCUGGAGAGAAGCAAGUGUUUGGGCCAGACAUUCUGCUUGAAGCCGAAGAGAACAUCAAGAUGGUCCGAGAGAAUCUGAAGAUAGCGCAAUCGAGGCAGCGAAGCUAUGCAGACACAAGAAGAAGAGAGCUGAGUUUUGAAGUCGGAGACUUUGUCUAUCUGAAAGUGUCACCGAUCAGAGGAGUCAGAAGAUUCGGAGUGAAAGGCAAGCUAGCACCCCGCUACAUUGGUCCGUACCAGGUCCUCUCAAAGCGUGGAGAAGUGGCUUAUCAGCUCAGCCUGCCAGAGAAUUUGUCUGCUGUGCAUGAUGUCUUUCAUGUGUCUCAGUUGAAGAAGUGCUUGCGUGUGCCAGAAGAGCAGUUGCCAGUGGAAGGUCUUGAGGUCCAGGAGGACUUGACCUAUGUUGAGAAGCCAGCUCAGAUCCUUGAGAUUGCAGACAGAGUCACCCGAAGGAAGACCAUCAGAAUGUGCAAAGUCAAAUGGAAUCACCACUCUGAGGAAGAAGCAACCUGGGAGCGUGAAGAUGAUCUAGUGGCCAAGUACCCAGAGCUCUUUGCUAGCCAGCCCUGAAUCUCGAGGGCGAGAUUCUUUUAAGGGGGAUAGGUUUGUAACGCCCCGAAUUUUGUAGUUGAAUUUUUUCUUUUCUUUACUCGCCAAAUUCGGGCGUUACCUUUUCUUUUUCUUUUUGCCCUCGCUAGACCUUGACCUUUUCCAAAGUUAGCGGGAUUCGGUUUGGAAUUCCCGUGUAAGAAAACCAUAAAACUGUUUUAUGUUGUUUGAUGCACCAUGCCGAACUAUGCAUUCUUUGAUUGUUUGAAAGUGCAAAUGCAUUCAUGUAGAAAGAUCGGAUUUCGAAAAAUAAGGAGAACCUUUUCUUUCUUUUUCUUUUUCUUUCUCUCUCUCCUCUCUUUCUCUCCCUCCCGCGCCGUGGGCCGACCCCGGCCGGCCCAGCCGCCCUUGCGCCCCCUUUUGGGCCCAAAAAGGCCCAACCGCCCCCACCUCCCCUUUUUCCCCAAUUCUCUCUCCCUCCCUCUCAUUUUCUCUCAUUUUCUCUCCCCCACCCUAAGCCGCCGCCGCCCCUACCCCCCUGCCCUAGCGCCGGCCGCCGCCCUCGCCGUCGGCCGCCCCUCGCCGGUGAGCCCCCCUCCUCCCUCUCUCCCUCCUCCCUCCCUCUCCCCUCCCCCUCCUCUCUCCUCGGCAGCCCGGCCGCCUGGCCGCCCUGGCCUGGCCGCCUUGGCCGCGCCCCCAGCCGGCCGCUGCCGCGCCGCCCUGGCCCCAGCCGGCCACGGCCGCCCCUGGCCGCGCGCCCCAGCCCCCGCCUGGCCAGCCCCAGCCGGCCCCUGGCCAGCCCCGGCCGCCCUGGCCCCUGGCCGCGUCCCCCUGCGCAGGGCCGGUUCAACCGCCCUAGGGCCGGUUCAACCGCCCCCCCCU
rnacentral:lncRNA from 1 species